UUUAAUCACUCAAAUUAGCAGAGGGUGUCGGGUUAGAGAAAGUUGUUUUUUUUUUAAUUUGUGAAAUCGAUUUUAUUUCACGAAAAGUCGAGCAAAGUUAGUUAGUUCGAAUCUUCUACUUGCAAUGUAUUCCUACAUUGUAAUUGAUCAUUUCUUUCUCCCAGCUAAAUCUGAGUAAAACGUCGCACCUGUCGGCUGACUGCGAGUUACUCCGAAGCCACAUCGGUCAACAACACCCGCUUCUCGGCAUUUUGUGGACAUUUUAUUUGGAGCAGAUGGCGCGACAACAGGAAUAAUUGGCAGGACUGCGAAGCGAAAGAAAUAGGAAAUAUCAACACUGCCCCCGGACUAUAAAGAAACUACUCCACGAUCAACAGGAAUGGUAUCACUUACACAUUGCACAGGAUCCAGAAAACUAUUUCAAAGCAAAUUCACAAGCCCAUUAAAUCGACAUUGUCUUAAAAUGUUCCUCAAUGCAUUCGUUAUGCGAAGUGUAGUAUUAUAAAUUAUUAUUUAGCACCUGUCAGUAUAACACUAGACCUUUCAAGACCGUUUGAUAGUGUGUUAUUGGUAGGGUAUUACGUUUCGAAUUAAACGUGCCCUUAGAGUUCAACAUCGAAAACCUAAAGAAAUGGAGACUCGAGUUUGUACCCCUUAAAUAUUCAUCACACUCUUCCUUAAAUAUAUAUAUAUUUUUCACAAUUCAUAUUAAGCAAGUCGUCCCCUAGUUGGCAUACGAUUUCUCAUCGCGACUUUAAUCUUAUUGCAAUGUUUUUGGGCGGCAAUUUUCAUUUUCCUUAAAAUUCCGCUGCAAGUUAUAGAAAUGAAACACAUUUUUAAAUGUGGGUACGCUGGCGUAUUGUUAUAUUUUAAUUCUGAUAAAUAAUUAAAAAUGUAGGCUUUCAUUUCAAAUAUAGAAUCUGGUGGUUUUUAAUAACUUGCACGUCUAUUAAUAAAGGUAGUAUUUAAUAAUGUAUUUUAAUGUAUAUCACUGCUUCUAAAUAUUUGAUAAAUUAGUUCAUGUGGUGAAUCAAAUUGGGAAACAAUACACACUUUUUAAAAGUUGCUGCAAUUAAGUCCGUCAAGAGGCGCCAUCAAGAAAAAAACUGCAUAUGGACUCCGCGUCUCCAUCCACAAUGCUAAAUGAUUGUUGACAGUCUAUACUAUACAUUAACACAGCAGAGGUCUGCCGCUGACCAAAUGGAAUAUUUCUGAGCAAUUCUUGUUCCGUCAUGCAGCGUGGAAGAAAAUCAAAUCUCGUCCUAUUUUGGAAAUUCACGUACACGAACAUUUAAAACAUAAGCUAGCUGGAUAAUUUGAAAUGUAUUAGAACUGUCUGGCUUAUAAGGUGAAAUAACAAUCCAUGUUGCAUUGAAGGCGGUCACACGGUCUAAAAUGUCUCGGUUGUGGGCGUUCAAAUCUUUUACUUUUAUUUCAUAUUUCCAAUGUACAGUGGAAGAACACGCGUUUUUUUUGUUAAACCUGUUUAGAAAUCUUGCACUUGUUUGACUAAAAUAGUAUUAUCUG